GAGUGGCGCAGCGGUUACGCACCAGCCCCUCGCUUUUCGCCCCCCGCCGCCGGCCCGCCCGCCUCUGAGUCCCCCAGUCCCUCGCGGUACGGACGCACAGGCAGCUCGCUAGCAGCUCCGCUUGCUCUCUCUCCUCCUCCCGAAAUGUUUUAUUUAACAUGCUGUACCGGAAGGAGAAGCCAUAUUCCCUCUCCCCAGCCCUGAGUCGCCGCCGCCGCUGCCAGCUAGGCUGCCGUGCGCCCCAGCCCCCGGACCUCGGGGGUGGCUGGAGGAGACCGCAGGAGGGUGCGUAGGGGGCGCUGGCAACCCCGUGCGGUGGGGGGCGCCCUGGGACAAAGCCCUGUUGCAUGCCGGGGCCGGCUACAUAAAGAGCCGAGGCGAAAGAGGGGCCGCAACAUCGGCAGACCCGGCACCCUCCUCCUGCCUCACACACACACACACACACACACACGACGCCGCCGCUCCUAAGCACAGACACACACCCCGAUCGCGGCGCGGAGAAGGUGGAACGGCGAGCCGCCUGCUUGCCAGCCUGCGGAAGAGCGGCCCGGAGCCCGAGCCCGCCGGGAUGCGGCUUCUCCAGGCCGGGCGGCGUGGCCGCGGCUGCAGGAGGGAGCGGACAUGCCCGUAGCUCUGCAGACAAAAGAGCCGCCUGCGAUUGCAGCUGCCCAGCCAGCCCCCCGAGGGGAGGAGGCGGAGAGGGACCCUGCUGCUGCUGCUGCUGCUGCCGCUGCCGCUGCAGGUCCUGAAGAGUAAGAGCCGCCUCCCGGCCGUGUUCGUGGCGGGCAGAAGGAGAAGCCCCGGAGGAAGAGGGCGGCGAAGAGCUGCAGCUCGCUUUUUGCAGCGCGCCCGCUGGAUUCUCCACCCCGCUCCCUCCCUGACUGGCCUCGCUGCCGGUCGCUGGCCGCCGGAGGAGAGCCGCCCGCCCCCCUCUCACUCAGCCAUGGCCCAAGGAAAUCCGGACGCGGACUGCCCGCUGGGGAUCCGAGAGGGACCCACGGAACGCGCCGCAUCCUAGGGGAGAGCUACCCACCCAGCGAGCGGGGUGGCGGCGGUGGUAGUGGCGGUGGUGAGUGAGCGGUUCGUUCUCUCCCACGGCCGCCUUGACGCCUCCCCACCGACGGCCCCUUGCCCUUACCCCUAGCUAGCACGCCGAAGGGUUUCCUUGCCUUUCCCGGCCAAAAGGCCUCCCUCUCCAUCCUCACCGGCUGUGACCCCCCCCCCGCAUUCCUUUCCGGCACCCCUAUUCCCUGCCGUACCCCCGCACACCUGUAAACACGCAGCCUUCCUCCUUACAGUAGUCAAGACUCCGCCACCGCUUGUGUCCGGGAUGGGGGUCCCAGCUUUUGCUCCCCGCCCUCCCCUCUGCGACCCCCCGGCCUCCCCAUUGCAGCAGCCCUUCGUCGUCUUCUCCUCUUCCCCGUCCCCCGAUGCGGGCCAGGGGCACAGCUAAGCGCCCUUGUCUCCCCCACCCCUCCAGGGCCCCCCACCCCAAAAGGAAGCGCUGCCGCCGCCGCCGGGGGAAGUAAAUGAUGUUCAAGUACCGGAUCCGCAUGUUCUUCAACGAGCUGAAGCUGCUGGUGUUGAUGCGGCGGGGCCGCCCGGAGCCCGAGCCUGGAGCCGGGGGAAGCCGGGGGGCGCUGGGAGGCAGCGGCUGUGGAUGGCCCCCCUUCGCCGAUUGCUCGGCCCGGCAGGACGAUGAGGCUGAGUAUUAUGGUGGGGGAGGCGCGGAGACUCGGCCCCGGAGCCUGGCCCUGGAAGAGAAAGACCCCCGACCUCAGCCCCCCGGGCACCAGCCGGGGCAGCAGCAGCAGCAGCAGCAGCCCGGAACUGCCGGGGCCGGAGGAGCUUUGGACUCGGUGUCGCUCAGCAGCAGCUUGGAUAGUGGCAUGAGGACCCCGCAGUGCCGGAUCUGCUUCCAGGGACCCGAGCAGGGAGAGCUGCUGAGCCCAUGUCGCUGUGACGGUUCUGUCCGCUGCACACACCAGCCCUGCCUGAUUCGCUGGAUCAGCGAGAGGGGCUCUUGGAGCUGUGAACUGUGCUACUUCAAAUACCAGGUCUUAGCCAUUAGCACAAAGAAUCCCUUGCAGUGGCAGGCGAUUUCUCUGACAGUGAUUGAAAAGGUGCAGAUUGCAGCCAUCAUCCUGGGUUCUCUCUUCCUCAUUGCCAGCAUCUCGUGGCUCAUCUGGUCCUCCCUGAGCCCCUCGGCCAAAUGGCAGCGGCAGGACCUGCUCUUCCAGAUCUGCUAUGGCAUGUAUGGCUUUAUGGACAUCGUCUGCAUAGGUCUGAUUAUCCAUGAGGGCUCCUCAGUAUAUCGAAUAUUCAAGCGUUGGCAGGCGGUGAACCAGCAGUGGAAGGUGCUGAACUAUGACAAAGCCAAGGACCUGGGGGAACCAAUUGGCGGGAGCACAAAGCCCGGAGGGCGGAAUUCACGGACGAACCCCUCCUCAGGGAGUGAGAGGACCUCCCAGCGGGGCCAGCGGGUUAGGACUAUUUUGAACCAUCACUGUGGCUAUACAAUUCUGCACAUUCUCAGCCACCUACGGCCGAAUGAACAUCGUGGGGGCUCCAGUUCCAGCCGUGAGGUUGUCAUGAGGGUGACAACUGUAUAAUAACAGCCUAUGGAGUCUUUGCCAAGAGGGAGAGGCUCCACAGUUUCCAUGGAAGGAAGAGGCCGAUGCCUUCACUUCCGCACAGGCUCCAUUUUGAGCCCCUACGGGGCCUGUGGUGAAAGGAGAGACCCUGUCCUCCCAGCUUCCCUUGUAAGACUAAACUCCUUGGAAGUGUGGUGGGGUUUUAUUUAUUUAAUUUUUUAAAGCAACCCCUGCCUGGUUCCUUCUUGACGAGUCUUGGCGCCAACCAAUCCAGAAAUUUGAAAACAUUUUUACCUCAUCUUUCAAAGGAAAUCCUGCCAGAAGACCAAUACCUUUCCACCCCAUCCCAUUGGUCUCUCUAUCCAAGAGACACCAACCAGAGGAGUGCUGAACUUUUACCCAUCCAAAAGAAAUUUUUAAAAAAUGGUGCAAUAAACAUGUUUCUUAAAGCAAAAUGGCAUCUCGCAAUAAGAUACCUGUACAUUUCAUCUUUAAUUUAAUGCAUGGAGAUCUGUUUCUCUCCCUCCUCUCCCUCCCCUCUUUUCCUUCUCUCCAUCUGUGGGAGGAUAAAGAAUCGUUUAUAUACAAA